rnacentral:tRNA from 1 species
AGGUGUUAAAUAGAUUUACUAUAUCUGUUUACGGCUCAGGGUGAUAGGCACCUU